rnacentral:ncRNA from 1 species
ACGGAAGGACGGAAGGCCAAGACCGAAUCGGAAGAGAAGAUUCGAUCUCCCGACUGUUCUUCCCAGCACGGACACCGAGUACCCACGCGAAGCCGAUGCCACUAUAAGGGCACGAGUGUUGUGGGCCUGCGAGUUCCGGAUUUUCGAAGACGAGUACCCCGCACCCGUUGCGAGGACGAAUCGACGAUACCCGGAUCAUCGCCGAGGCCGUUGAAUCACAACCCAUUUCAGCACGCAUGGUAACUCGGACCGCCCGUGCUAGCGGGUGGCGGAAUCGAUCUCGAUCGAUAUGCCACCCGCUUUCGCGU